GCCGGAAGCCCCCUGCUCUGUGGGAACCGGAGGGAGGACAGCGCGAGGUCCCCGGACAAAGCGUGGCGCAUAAGUCCGGCCCGUAACUUGGUGGGCAGGCAACUUAGGGGAUGUGGGCCUGGUUAUAGCUGAGCAUGCUUUUCUAUUCCUCCCAGACCACAGUUCUUCAGACCUGGAGCCACUUUCAGAGAAGAGUAUAAGUUGCACUGAAUUGAAAAAGGGAAAAGUUUAGGACUGCAGAAGAUGGAAUUCCUGGGGACGUUAAACUGGGCUAAGAUGGAGCAGAUAAGAUUUCCUUAAUUAGAGCAAGACACACCUAGUAUCUAGAGCCUGGAAGUCUUGGUCAAGGAUUCUCCCUAACAUCUCAGUUUCUCAGCACUAACAUUCCUGCUACUAAAAUGAAGUGAGAAAUUAAUUUCUGAAGUUAAGUAAAGAAAUAAACUAAAAUUCCUAGAAAAGAGGUAAGAAGAAUGAGCCUUUGAAAAAUGUCUUCACAAAGACUGGCAUGAUGGCAUGGAAGAAAGAGCCCCAGAUAUCCAGUAUACAUCUCAAGGUCAACUUGUCCAAAACAGAGCUACUGAUGAUUUUCCCCUUGAAAUCUACUCUUCCUACAGCUUAUUCAUCUCAAAUAUCUCCCUCUCUUGCCAAGCCUGGACUGUACUGCCAUGAUCUCAGCUCGCUGCAACCUCCCUGCCUCGAGUUCUGGUGAUUCUCCUGCCUCGGCCUGACAUUCCAGGCAGGCGCCGCCACUCCUGACUGGUUUUUGUAUUUUUGGUGGAGACGGGGUUUCACCGUGUUGACCGGGCUGGUCUCCAGCUCCUGGCCUCGGGUGAUCUGCCCACCUCGGCCUCCCGAGGUGCUGGGAUUGCAGACGGAGUCUCGCUCACUCAAUGCUCAAUGUUGCCCAGGCUGGAGUGCAGUGGCGUGAUCUCAGCUUGCUACAACCUCCACCUCCCAGCCGCCUGCCUUGGCCUCCCAAAGUGCUAAGAUUACAGCCUCUGCCCACCCGCCACCCCGUCUAGGAAGUGAGCAGCGUCUCUGCCUGGCCGCCCAUCGUCUGGGAUGUGAGGAGCACCUUUGCCCGGCCGCCCCGUCUGGGAAGUGAGGAGCGCCUCUGCCCGGCCACCCCGUCUGGGAGGUGAGGAGCAUCUCUGCCCGGCCACCCCGUCUGGGAGGUGAGGAGCGCCUCUGCCCGGCUGCCCAGUCUGGGAAGUGAGGAGCGCCCCUGCCCACCCGCCCAUUGUCUGGGAAGUGAGGAGCACCUCUGCCCAGUCGCCCCGUCUGGGAAGUGAGGAGCGCCUCUGCCCGGCCGCCCCGUCUGGGAUGUGAGGAGCGCCUCUGCCCGGCCGCCCCGUCUGGGAUGUGAGGAGCGCCUCUGCCCAGCCGCCACCCCAUCUGGGAAGUGGGGAGCGCCUCUGCCCGGCCGCCCCAUCUGGGAUGUGAGGAGCGCCUCUGCCUGGCCUCCCCGUCUGGGAGGUGGGGAGCGCCUCUGCCCAGCCGCCCCGUCUGGGAGGUGAGGAGCAUCUCUACCUGGCUGCUCAUCAUCUGGGAUGUGAGGAGCACCUCUGCCCGGCCGCCCCAUCUGGGAAGUGAGGAGCGCCUCUGCCCAGCCACCCUUCGUCUGGGAGGUGAGGAGCGUCUCUGCCUGGCCGCCCAUUGUCUGGGAUGUGAGGAGCGCCUCUGCCCGGCCGCCCCCUCUGGGAAGUGAGGAGUGCCUCUGCCUGGCCGCCCCAUCUGGGAGGUGUACCCAACAGCUCCGAAGAGACAGCGACCAUUGAGAACGGGCCAUGAUGACGAUGGUGGUUUUGUUGAAAAAUAAAGGGGGAAAUGUGGGGAAAAGAAAGAGAGAUCAGAUUGUUACUGUGUCUGUGUAGAAAGAAGUAGACAUAGGAGACUCCAUUUUGUUCUGUACUAAGAAAAAUUCUUCUGCCUUGGGAUGCUGUUAAUCUAUAACCUUACCCCCAACCCCGUGCUCUCUGAAACAUGUGCUGUGUCAACUCAGGGUUAAAUGGAUUAAGGGUGGUGCAAGAUGUGCUUUGUUAAACAGAUGCUUGAAGGCAGCAUGCUCCUUAAGAGUCAUCACCACUCCCUAAUCUCAAGUACCCAGGGACACAAACACUGCGGAAGGCCGCAGGGUCCUCUGCCUAGGAAAACCAGAGACCUUUGUUCACGUGUUUAUCUGCUGACCUUCUCUCCACUAUUAUCCUAUGACCCUGCCACAUCCCCCUCGCCGAGAAACACCCAAGAAUGAUCAAUAAAUACUAAAAAAAAAAAAAAGUUAUUUCUUCUAAUCAAUAUUUCCAAGAGUUUCAACCUCUAAUUUUAAAUCUCUCAGUUUGAUUUCCUCUUUUACUGUCUUUCCUAAGGUGAUUAGCAUUUGUAAUUGCCAGAAGGAAUUAAGUCCCCCAAACCGUAACCUGAUGAAUCACAGAUAGUCAGGUCAAUCACCAGCCUUAUUAAAUAUUCACUUAAAAGUUUAAGUAGUUGUAUUUCAUCACCUAAAAGUUAUAAUUCUACAGUACAAAGGACUUUUUCUUAAAUUAACAUGAAUAACCAGUUAUGUGAUGAUAAAUAAACUUUUUAAGUAAGGAA
rnacentral:lncRNA from 1 species